GGAGGUGAAGGUGACGUGGUUUCAGCUUCGGUCGCCCCACUGACCAUCAGGAUUGAUUCACAUGAUCUGAUCGGUUUCCUCUUUCUUUUUCAUCACUCCAUCUGUAUCCCUCCCGGAAGAGAGGAGGCCUAGUCUUCAGUUAAAGGCAUAAAAGUAGCUGUGGCUCCUGCUAGAGCCUCCAAACAAGCUCUCAAGAACGAUUUGGUGAAGUUAAAGUAGGAGGCAAAGGAGAAGAAUUCAAGGAAACCCGGUUUCCUCUACC
ensembl:misc_RNA predicted gene, 23465